rnacentral:rRNA from 1 species
UGCGUAGGCGGUGGGGUAAGUUUGAGGUGAAAGCUCCGGGCUCAAUCCGGAAAAUGCCUUGAAACUAUCCGGCUAGAGGGUUGGAGGGGAGGACUGGAAUUCUCGGUGUAGCAGUGAAAUGCGUAGAUCUCGAGAGGAACACCAGUGGCGAAGGCGGGUCUCUGGACAACACCUGACGCUGAGGCACGAAAGCCAGGGGAGCAAACG